UGCAUGGUGGUGCAGUUGGUAGCACUGUUGCCUUACAACAAGAAGGUCCUGGGUUCGACUCGUGCCCAGGGCUCUUUCUGCAU